rnacentral:rRNA from 1 species
UACGUAGGGGGCGAGCGUUGUCCGGAUUCAUUGGGCGUAAAGAGCUCGUAGGCGGCUUGGCAAGUCGGAUGUGAAAACUCCAGGCUCAACCUGGAGCCGCCAUUCGAUACUGCUAUGGCUAGAGUCCGGUAGGGGAUUGUGGAAUUCCCGGUGUAGCGGUGAAAUGCGCAGAUAUCGGGAGGAACACCGAUGGCGAAGGCAGCACUCUGGGCCGGUACUGACGCUGAGGAGCGAAAGCGUGGGGAGCGAACAGG